rnacentral:rRNA from 1 species
UACGGGGGGGGCAAGCGUUGUUCGGAAUUACUGGGCGUAAAGGGCUCGUAGGUGGCCAACUAAGUCAGACGUGAAAUCCCUCGGCUUAACCGGGGAACUGCGUCUGAUACUGGAUGGCUUGAGUUUGGGAGAGGGAUGCGGAAUUCCAGGUGUAGCGGUGAAAUGCGCAGAUAUCAGGAAGAACACCAACGGCGAAGGCAGCUCGCUGGGACGGUACUGACGCUGAGACGCGAAAGCGUGGGGAGCGAACAGG